UAAGCCCAGCACUGAACCUCGUGUCUCCGGAUACCGAGGAAUGUAGUGUUCAGGAGAGAGGUAGUUUGCCUGUCCGGUGAUUGUCCAAGUCCCCAUGAUCGGGGCUAGAGUCCGCAGAGGGUGUCAGGCCCGUAGUGACGCACCGCGACCGUGAACGCUUGAUCUCCUAAGAGUCGGGUUGCUUGAGAGUGCAGCCCUAAGCGGGAGGUAAACUCCUUCUAAGGCUAAAUACCGCCACGAGACCGAUAGCAAACAAGUACCGCGAGGGAAAGUUGAAAAGAACUUUGAAGAGAGAGUUCAAGAGUGCGUGAAACCGUUCAGGGGGUUAAACGGGUGGGCCCUCGAAGGUCGAACGGCAUCUACUCCCGUUACCUGCAUACGAGCCUGCGCUGGGACGAGUCGCAUUCUGCGGCCGCCGAGUGUGGUACGCUUGGGGCGUGCAGGGACCGCUAGUUGGAUGCCUAGUAGGACUCCGCAACCGGCUGGGGUGAUACGGUCGUCAGACGGGUCUUGAGAAGCGGCCUCCUUGUGGGGCUGUCUUUUUGAGAUUCCCGGCGACCACUCGGCCGUUGAGUGCUGCCUCGCUGUUCCUCAUGGAUGGACGAGCGUUUUGACCUUUGCGGGGAGAAGCGUUGUCGGUUCGUUCGAGGCUCCGGUGAGAAGCGCGGAGAGUAGGUCGGGUCCCACCCGACCCGUCUUGAAACACGGACCAAGGAGUCUAACAUGUGCGCGAGUCGUCGAGUUGUACCAAACUCGAAGGCGCAAUGAAAGUAAAGGCUAGGCUUGCCCUAGCUGAGGGGAGAUCCCGUUUCUGCUUCGGUAGCGCGGGCGCAUCCCCGGGGCGUCUAGACUGCGUUGCCAGUCGGACGCACCUAGAGCGUACACGUUGGGACCCGAAAGAUGGUGACCUAUGCCUGGCCAGGACGAAGCCAGGGGAAACCCU
rnacentral:rRNA from 1 species